AUCGAGGCAUGUUUGUGUCAUCUCUGUUGUAGACUUUGUUUUGCAGCAAUCUUGGCAAGAGUUUUUUCAUAUCAAUUCUGGAUACAACUGUCUCGCAGCAGCAAUUUAUUCGUUCGCGAUCUCUUCGGUCCAUGUCGAAGAUUCUUCUAGGUUCUUCUGAAUCAGUCUUUUCUGCCACCACUUGGCCGUUCUGAAUUCUGAUAUCACAUAGAGAUAAGAAGAAUGGAUCAAGGAUCAAGCACCUCAGCUAAUUGAUAUCCUAUGUCAUCGACCAGGUACUAUUAAAGACGGGGCCUUAUAGGAAUUAGCAUGAGCAGAAAAAAAAGUUUGCUACGUGCUACUGUAGAUAUAUAGAUCUUUGUAUUGUCGGUAAUAAAAUUGCGAUUUUUUAGAAUAAAA